GUCAUGCAGAGCAAAGAAUUGAGUUUGGAAACAGGUUCUGAAGUCUCUUCUGGAGAAGGAGUCAGGUGAAUGCAGCACCAAAAUGUGAAGUUCUUCAUAGAACAGCAAUACCUAUUACCCUCCUGACACAACACAGCAUAGCUGUCUUUUAGAAAGCAAAUGGAAAAUCUUGCUUGACAAACAAUUCCUGUCCUUGAGAACAGAUUGCUGUCCUUGAGACCCAGGUCCCCAUUCACUAUAUGUGAGCAGAGUCUACGGGAUUUCUUACAAACUGGGAGAAAGAUUCAGCCCAGUUUAAGCAGUUUUGCAGGUAGUAUUUCAAAGUACAAAACCAACACUGCAUGAACCAAGGAGAACAGUCAUAGCAAUUGCCAACAUCAUCAUAUUUGGAAUCAAAGAUGACUGCCACAACAGUGGUGUCUGCUGGAUGAAAAGCUGUUCUGCAAGCAAAAUGGCAGCAUUUGAUUUCAGCCACCGAGUUUAUCAAUGAGAAGUUCCAUGUUUUAACCCCCCCCCCAAAAAACACACACCUAUGAGUCGAAAAUGGCUUGAUUCCGAGCUUUUUGCAAGGUUACAGACAUAAAUACAAUUGCUAGAUGUUUUUGGCUGUAAAUAACUGAACAUGCCCUUCACCAGAAGAGUAAUUUUUGUUGUGCUGCACUUGACAAGGUUUGGUGGCAGGAGCUGUCUGGGGUCAAACUGGAAACCUUAGGGGUGGCCUGUGUGCUGCUGCCCCAUGUGGUGAGCCACUGAACUGCAGAUUGCAGCAUCUUACUAGACAGAUUAGCAUCCUAAGGCCUCAGAUGGUGUAGAGAUGGAAAAAACUUGCUGUGUAAUUUGUGAUGGUAAUAUGCAGAAAGGCAACUGUUGUGGAACGUGGUCUAGAAAAAAUUAAGAUAAAAUGCAGGAAGGGAAGUUGGCCUAGUUAACAUAUGGAUGUGAAACUGCACGUUAAGUGUUGUAACAACAUGCACUGUGUAUAAGCAUAUCCAUUGUUAGAGAUCUCCUAGGGAAGUACUACGUCCCACCCUCCAGCAGUUUUAUGUUUGAACAUUGCUGCAUAUAACUUCAAGACAUACUGCAUCUUUAUAGUUAGCUAGCAGCCAAUAGCUAGCAGGUAGAGAGAAAUAAGCAGCUUGAUUGAGGACUUGAUUGAGGUUAAUACGGUCAUCACAGGGCAAAUGAUUCAGUCAGGGAACUUGCAACAAAACAAGGCAAAUGAAUGGAUUUGUACAAUACAGGUUUUGUUAGACAGUGUAAUAGUUCCACAAUCAUUGCUGCUACUAUACCUGUGGCGUGUCAGAACCCCUACACAUGAAACAAGGAAUCAAUUUAGUACAACUGGAUGACAUAUCAAUUCGGAAAAGUCACUGGCAUUUGAGAAACUGCAAGUACUCUUAAAAACAUGAUGAAUGCCAGUGCAGUAUCGGUGAGUUAGUUGACAAAUUGAAGGGGUUAUCCCCCUUCUCAGGCAACACACAGCGAGAAACAUCUCAUAAGUAAAUUAGAAGGUGCCUUUGGGGAAGUAAUGUCUGCUUCAUGUGCUCCAGGAUUGAACAAAAAACAGCUUUGAUAUAACUGCAACAUACUUUCGAUACCAGAACAGGAAAGUUGAUAUUGAUGUACAUCGACAGUACAAAUAGCAGCAGCAAUAAUUUGGGAGGAGAUUUAUUUAAAGAUCUAUAGCUGUGACAGAUUCAAGACUGGUGAGGUUGCUAUAGCUAUGGCGUGUGGGGCAGAAGCUGGGAAAAGUCUACAUGAGAAGAUGUACCACCUGUACAAAAAACGUUUAGCUUACCAACCAUUACAUGCAAAAUUUGACUUCACAGCCUUUUUACCAAUGUCCACUGAUGUUAGGCAGCAUAGUCUCAAGCAUUUUCUACUCCUGUUGUGGUGUUGACCUAUUGAUUACUACAUAAUAGUUCUAUUUAUAUUACUUUAUCUAAUAACAACUUGCACAUUGCCUUGUAAUAUUACAGAUGUUCCUAAAAAUGGCAUAUUGACAUCCUUAUCUGUCCGCUAUAUCAAUGAGCUGCCAAGGACUAUCAACACACUUCCAUUUACAAAUUUUUCACACACCUUCAUCUGCUCACAUUUUUGACCUGAUUGUAGACAUUAAAAUAUUGGUAAAACCCAUGUUGUGGUGGUUUUACUGUUUCAGCAGCCUUAUUUGUAACUAUAUCUUGGUAUCAUCACAGCUAGUGAACAAGAAAUAGGGGUGGAGGUCUCAGUGGAAUAUUUGACACCAAAAUCAUGGUCCUUGCUGGUAUAGAAUCUGCAUUACAGUAAUUUCCCAUAUUCAUAUUUUUGCCACGAUUAUUUCCAAGGUGGGGUUGUUAGGGACAACUAGUAUGUCGCUCAGGAAGUCAAGCUGCCAUUAUGUUUCAAAUUUCUUCUUGGUCACGUGUCCUACCAAACCUGGAGUAUUUUUCUAGUUUGGGGGGGGGGGAUGCAUCUGUGCAGUAGAUUAUAGCCUAAAAUGCUGCACAAGAGCCCAGUCUUUAAGGUGCCACAGGACUUAUUGGAAAACUGGUCAUUCUUUAAUUUUUGUUAUAAAAUAUAUUAGAACAUUAAAGUAAGUUACUGACCAAAUUCCACCCUUCCCUCACAUUUUGUGGUUGUAUCAGUAAACAACAAUGUGAAUAUUAUUUACUGUUUGAACUUGCACCAAAUGUGUAAUCUUACGAUUUUGAAAGGAGCAAAACCUUGUCAAAAGCUGUGGAAUGAAGCUGAAAUUUUAAAAUAACACGAAGCAGCCUAUAUUAAGCCUAAGUUACAGAAUGUCAUCAGACAUAUGUGUGAGGAUAAAUUCAUAUAAUAUUGCUUUGCUGUCCUGGUGGGACUGAAUUUCACAGCUCAGUAGGAAAAACUAAUGCUUGGCUAAAUAGCCCAGCCAUAAUUCAUAGCCUGACAUAGAUCUAACAUCAACACUGACUGAAAGACUUGAAAGUAACAAAUAGCAAGUGAAAUGGAAUCACAACAUCCAUCUUGGUUUCACUAUCAUCAAUUAAAAUGUUUUUUGAUAAGAAAUUUGAGAGAUGAGAAAAUGGAAAAUAAACUGACCACCUUUGAGAUAAUCAAGGUAGUAGAGCAAAACAUUGUUAUGAGAAACAUAUCAAUUACUUAUCAAGACAGAACAGUGACAGAAAAUGUUUGUUUGUUUCAAAAGGGAAACGAUGCUAGAGGUGGAAAAACAAAAUGAAAUCUAGAAGUCUGCCUUUCCUUGUGGUCCUGCCAUGCCAACUUACAUUUCUUUAAAAGAGAGUAUUUUCAAAAUACUGUACUGUGCGUUUUUAACAGCAGAAAUUUGUUCAAAUUAGAGAGAUGUAUGUUGGAGGGUUGAUAAAUAAGUGGCAUAUUCAUGCAUAUCUGGUGGAAAUAUAAGAAGAUGAGCUCUUUUUGGAAUGAUAUGCAUAUGAGACAGACAUUUGGAUCCAUUAAAUAUAAUGCAACAUUA